rnacentral:rRNA from 1 species
UACGGGGGGGGCAAGCGUUGUUCGGAAUUACUGGGCGUAAAGGGCUCGUAGGCGGCCAACUAAGUCACACGUGAAAUCCCAGGCUCAACCUGGGAACUGCGUGUGAUACUGGAUGGCUUGAAUUCGGGAGAGGGAUGCAGAAUUCCAGGUGUAGCGGUGAAAUGCGUAGAUAUCUGGAGGAAUACCGGUGGCGAAGGCGGCAUCCUGGACCGACAUUGACGCUGAUGAGCGAAAGCUAGGGGAGCAAACGGG